UACGUAGGUGGCAAGCGUUGUCCGGAAUUAUUGGGCGUAAAGGGCGCGCAGGCGGUCUCUUAAGUCUGUCUUAAAAGUGCGGGGCUCAACCCCGUGAGGGGACGGAAACUGGGAGACUGGAGUAUCGGAGAGGAAAGCAGAAUUCCUAGUGUAGCGGUGAAAUGCGUAGAUAUUAGGAGGAAUACCAGUGGCGAAAGCGGCUUUCUGGACGACAACUGACGCUGAGGCACGAAAGCCAGGGGAGCGAACGGG
rnacentral:rRNA from 1 species